GGGCCUGUAGCUCAGCUGGUAGAGCGCCGCGUUUACACCGCGUAGGUCGUCGGUUCGAGCCGGCCGGGCCCA
rnacentral:tRNA from 1 species